GACGAACGCUGGCGGCGUGCUUAACACAUGCAAGUCGAACGCUGAACCCGCUUCGGUGGGGGAUGAGUGGCGAACGGGUGAGUAACACGUGGGCAACCUGCCCCCGGCUCUGGGAUAACUCCAAGAAAUUGGGGCUAAUACCGGAUGUGACCGCUGGCCGCAUGGUCUGGUGGUGGAAAGGGUUUCCGGCUGGGGAUGGGCCCGCGGCCUAUCAGCUUGUUGGUGGGGUAGUGGCCUACCAAGCCGACGACGGGCAGCCGGCCUGAGAGGGUGACCGGCCACGCUGGGACUGAGACACGGCCCAGACUCCUACGGGAGGCAGCAGUGGGGAAUAUUGCGCAAUGGGCGGAAGCCUGACGCAACGACGCCGCGUGGGGGAUGACGGCCUUCGGGUUGUAAACCUCUUUCAGCAGGGACGAAGCGCAAGUGACGGUACCUGCAGAAGAAGCACCGGCCAACUACGUG
rnacentral:rRNA from 1 species